rnacentral:rRNA from 2 species
CGGAGCAACGCCGCGUGAGUGAAGAAGGUUUUCGGAUCGUAAAACUCUGUUGUUAGGGAAGAACAAGUGCCGUUCGAAUAGGGCGGCGCCUUGACGGUACCUAACCAGAAAGCCACGGCUAACUACGUGCCAGCAGCCGCGGUAAUACGUAGGUGGCAAGCGUUGUCCGGAAUUAUUGGGCGUAAAGCGCGCGCAGGUGGUUUCUUAAGUCUGAUGUGAAAGCCCACGGCUCAACCGUGGAGGGUCAUUGGAAACUGGGGAACUUGAGUGCAGAAGAGGAAAGUGGAAUUCCAAGUGUAGCGGUGAAAUGCGUAGAUAUUUGGAGGAACACCAGUGGCGAAGGCGACUUUYUGGUCUGUAACUGACACUGAGGCGCGAAAGCGUGGGGAGCAAACAGGAUUAGAUACCCUGGUAGUCCACGCCGUAAACGAUGAGUGCUAAGUGUUAGAGGGUUUCCGCCCUUUAGUGCUGCAGCUAACGCAUUAAGCACUCCGCCUGGGGAGUACGGUCGCAAGACUGAAACUCAAAGGAAUUGACGGGGGCCCGCACAAGCGGUGGAGCAUGUGGUUUAAUUCGAAGC